GACGAACGCUGGCGGCGUGCUUAACACAUGCAAGUCGAACGGAAAGGCCCUGCUUUUGUGGGGUGCUCGAGUGGCGAACGGGUGAGUAACACGUGAGUAACCUGCCCUUGACUUUGGGAUAACUUCAGGAAACUGGGGCUAAUACCGGAUAGGAGCUCCUGCUGCAUGGUGGGGGUUGGAAAGUUUCGGCGGUUGGGGAUGGACUCGCGGCUUAUCAGCUUGUUGGUGGGGUAGUGGCUUACCAAGGCUUUGACGGGUAGCCGGCCUGAGAGGGUGACCGGCCACAUUGGGACUGAGAUACGGCCCAGACUCCUACGGGAGGCAGCAGUGGGGAAUAUUGCACAAUGGGCGGAAGCCUGAUGCAGCAACGCCGCGUGCGGGAUGACGGCCUUCGGGUUGUAAACCGCUUUCGCCUGUGACGAAGCGUGAGUGACGGUAAUGGGUAAAGAAGCAACGGCUAACUACGU
rnacentral:rRNA from 1 species